rnacentral:tRNA from 2 species
GGGGGUUUAGCUCAGUUGGCAGAGCGUUCGCUUAGCACAGCACAGCUUUCCCAAGCUGUUCAAGUGAUCUGCGAAAGGUCGCGUGUUCGACUCAUGCAGUCUCCA